CACCGCGGUUAUACGAGAGGCCCAAGUUGACAGAUACCGGCGUAAAAUGUGGUUAUUACAAUAUUACACUAAAGUUAAACACCUUCAAAGCUGUUAUAAGCUCUCGAAGUUAGGAAGUCCAACCACGAAAGUGACUUUAAGAAUAUGUACCACGAAAGCUAGGAAA
rnacentral:rRNA from 1 species